GUCCGGAUUUACUGGGCGUAAAGCGCGCGCAGGCGGCACUGUAAGUAAGGUGUGAAAUCUCCCUGCUCAACGGGGAGGGUGCACUUUAGACUGCAGAGCUAGAGGACGGUAGGGGGGACUGGAACUCUCGGUGGAGCGGUGAAAUGCGUAGAUAUCGAGAGGAACACCGGCGGCGAAGGCGAGUCCCUGGUCCGUUUCUGACGCUGAGGCGCGAAAGCGUGGGUAGCAAACAGG
rnacentral:rRNA from 1 species